GGGGUGUGCUCAGAGCAGGGAAUCUAGAGAAUGGCUCCUCUGUUUAUAACACACCCAAUAGGAAUCUGGUCAUUGUGUGAGGAGGGUUACAAAAUAUGUUGCCUUCCUCUGAAAAAAAUGUUCUACACAU
ensembl:snoRNA